UCAAAAUUGAGCUGAUUUGUUUUUUUUUUGACCCGCUAACCCAUCAUUUCAAAUCCCUAGAUUGUUGAGAAUCAAAUUGGAUAAAAAUGGUGAAAUUUGGAAGAAUACUUCUGAAAGAUGGGAUUAACAAGAAGCUCCUCGAAAUUCUUGUCUGUCCACUUUCUAAGCAACCUUUGAGGCUUUGCGAGAAGACGAAUUCUCUAAUCAGUGAUGCAAUUGGUGUUUCAUAUCCGAUAGUCGAUGGGAUUCCUCGUCUUGUACCAACGGAUGGCAAGAUUAUCGAGACUGAUGAUGCAUCACAUUCUGAUGGCUCUGUUGAUUUGCCUGGUAAAUGAACUGAUGAUCAAAGAGGUAGUUCUUAACACAAUUCAUUGACAAAUGGAGUUCAUAAGCUGAUGGAAGAUGUUAAAGAGAAUUAUGUCAGGUGUUGUGAUAACCUUUACCAAGUCUGAACGAUUGUCAACUACCAGAUAUGUUGGUCUAUAAUAUUCACUCCGACCCACAAGCACAUAUCAUUGAAUCCCAUGGGCUUCUAGGGUGGAGGUUUGGUUGAAGAUGACGUGAUGCAAGUGAAUGUCUGCGAAAAAGUUGUUGUAAUUCAACCAGGAGCAGUUUGCGGGAAGAACUCCUCAAGGUUUUCUCAAUAGAACAGUGAUAUGAAAUGAACAAAAAAGACUGGAAUAUAGAUAUAUGCAUAGUGUAUAGUACAUAUAUAUAAUGUAUGAGAAACUAAAAGGGAAGAACUAUGAAUCAAUAAAAUGGUGUUUGAUAAAGAUGUAUGAAUAGAAAUGUGGAGGAUGUGGAAGGUGAGCCCACCAGCUGAAGCUUUUACUACAAGUUGUAGUAGGUUAUUGUCAAAUGGGGAAUAAUGAUAGAAUGAGAGAGACAUAGUGGGUUACAUGUUUUGGGCUCAGAGUUAAUGGGAUCCAGGUUUUUAAUGUUAAUGGUGUAUGUGAGAACUUGGGAGGGUGGUAGUACCUACCAGAAUAACUAGUGAGAUGAGAAUUAUUGGAAGAUUGACUUUGUUGUUGGUUGUAUGUCAUGUGAUGCUUCCUCUUGUACAUGCUUUAUUUGUUUC